GGUGCGGUAGCUUAUAAAAAGCGUGGGGCUUUUAACCCCACGAAGUUUAAAAAACUCGCGCUU
rnacentral:tRNA from 1 species